rnacentral:rRNA from 1 species
GACGAACGCUGGCGGCGUGCUUAACACAUGCAAGUCGAACGGAAAGGCCCUGCUUUUGUGGGGUGCUCGAGUGGCGAACGGGUGAGUAACACGUGAGUAACCUGCCCUUGACUUUGGGAUAACUUCAGGAAACUGGGGCUAAUACCGGAUAGGAGCUCCUGCUGCAUGGUGGGGGUUGGAAAGUUUCGGCGGUUGGGGAUGGACUCGCGGCUUAUCAGCUUGUUGGUGGGGUAGUGGCUUACCAAGGCUUUGACGGGUAGCCGGCCUGAGAGGGUGACCGGCCACAUUGGGACUGAGAUACGGCCCAGACGCCUACGGGAGGCAGCAGUGGGGAAUAUUGCACAAUGGGCGGAAGCCUGAUGCAGCAACGCCGCGUGCGGGAUGACGGCCUUCGGGUUGUAAACCGCUUUCGCCUGUGGCGAAGCGUGAGUGACGGUAAUGGGUAAAGAAGCACCGGCUAACUACGUG